rnacentral:rRNA from 1 species
GGACGAACGCUGGCGGCGUGCUUAACACAUGCAAGUCGAACGGGGCUCACUCUUCGGGGUGGGUCUAGUGGCGAACGGGUGAGUAACACGUGGGCAACCUGCCCCUGGCUCUGGGAUAACUCCGGGAAACCGGGGCUAAUACCGGAUAUGACUUCGAUCGACAUCGGUCGUUGUGGAAAGUUUUUCGGCUCGGGAUGGGCCCGCGGCCUAUCAGCUUGUUGGUGGGGUAACGGCCUACCAAGGCGACGACGGGUAGCCGGCCUGAGAGGGCGACCGGCCACACUGGGACUGAGACACGGCCCAGACUCCUACGGGAGGCAGCAGUGGGGAAUAUUGCGCAAUGGGCGAAAGCCUGACGCAGCGACGCCGCGUGAGGGAUGAAGGCCUUCGGUUGUAACUCUUCAGCAGGACGAAGCGAGAGUGACGGUACCUGCAGAAGAAG